rnacentral:lncRNA from 1 species
UGGCUAUUAAACUUAUAUGAAUUCAUACCAAAAAUUAAUAUAAUACAUGAAAACUUAAUUAAUAAGAUAGACAUUUUUGAAAAUAAUUAUUUAGAAGCAUUUGAAAAGGCACAGUAUAUCAAUUAUGAAUUAUUAUAUACAAAAAAAGCAGAAGAAAAACAAAACAAAAAAACAAACAAAAAUCAUAACGUUAGUUGUUCAUCUAACAUGGAAUAUAAAAUACCAUUACACGAUAUAAGAGACUAUUUAUAUGACUUAAAUUUGAAACGGCAAAAAGAUCAUACAAACAGGUAUGACAUCGAUUGUGGUGACAAAUAUGAUGAUCUAACACAAGCCAAACACAUAGGCUUAAGGUAUAAUGACUAUUUUUUUAUACUGACAAAUAAAAAAAAAACUGUGCAUACAAAACACAACAUAAUAUCCACAUAUAUAGAACAGGAUGUCAACGAUACUAUAAAAGAUAUAUUACUACACGAAAACUAUUUUUUCAAUUAUACCUUCAAACAAAUAAAUAAAGACAAAAAUAUUAAAAAGUUGUUGUUUACAAAGAAAGUAAGCGAUAUAGAAAAGGCAUCCGAAACUGUCAAUGCAAGUGCAACUACUUCUGUAAACAAUAAUAAAAUUUUUCCCAAUACCUACAUCUACAACCACAAACAAUCAAACGAAUUAAACAUGCAAAGAGAUCAACCCUAUUCUAAUUAUAAUAAAACACAAAACAAACAACAAAAUGACAACGAACUAAACCAGUCGUCAUCUACUACAUAUAAUCAUAUAAAUAAUGACGUUAGUUGUAAAAACUGUUAUCAUAUGAAAAACAUUGAUUAUAUUGCUUAUAUGAAAGAAGUUUGUAUCCAUGACAACAAUGCAUAUUUUCACAUAGAUAUAGAAUUUAAUUGUUUUGAGUUAUGGAUAUCCCUAGACCCAAUUAGAAUCCCACGAAAAAAAAACUCUUACUUAAUGAAUAAUGAUAAUAAAUAUAGUAAUUUUUCUUAUAAUAGCAACAUAAGUAACAAUAUAGAAAACGUAUUUCAUCAUAAUGUUAAAAACAUUAUGUACAAAAAUGGAUAUGUAAAAAGUGGAAGUAAAGUAUUACACACAAAAUUAAAUAAAAAAAAAACAAACAAACGAACACAAAAGGGACGAGCACAAAAUAUAGGCAAAAAAAAACUAAAUCAUGGAGAGCUGGAAAAAACAAGAACAAAUAAAAUUGUAGAAAAAAUAAAACACUAUAAACAUGCAAAUGUAGAUAACCCCUAUGUGUUAGUCACAAGAGGAUGUCUAAAAGGUGUGAUAUUUUAUUUAUCUUAUAAUAAAAAGUCGGAUAAAGAAACGGCCGAACCAGCUAAAAAAAGCUUUGAAACCCAGUAUAGCGCUUCGAAUAUCGAAAGAC